GAUGAACGCUGGCGGCGUGCCUAAUACAUGCAAGUCGAGCGAACGGACGAGAAGCUUGCUUUUCUGAUGUUAGCGGCGGACGGGUGAGUAACACGUGGAUAACCUACCUAUAAGACUGGGAUAACUUCGGGAAACCGGAGCUAAUACCGGAUAAUAUUUUGAACCGCAUGGUUCAAAAGUGAAAGACGGUCUUGCUGUCACUUAUAGAUGGAUCCGCGCUGCAUUAGCUAGUUGGUAAGGUAACGGCUUACCAAGGCAACGAUGCAUAGCCGACCUGAGAGGGUGAUCGGCCACACUGGAACUGAGACACGGUCCAGACUCCUACGGGAGGCAGCAGUAGGGAAUCUUACGCAAUGGGCGAAAGCCUGACGGAGCAACGCCGCGUGAGUGAUGAAGGUCUUCGGAUCGUAAAACUCUGUUAGUAGGGAAGAACAUAUGUGUAAGUAACUGUGCACAUCUUGACGGUACCUAAUCAGAAAGCCACGGCUAACUACGUG
rnacentral:rRNA from 1 species